UACGGAGGGUGCGAGCGUUGUCCGGAAUCACUGGGCGUAAAGGGCGCGUAGGCGGCCUGAUAAGUAGGGGGUGAAAUCCUGCGGCUUAACCGCAGGGCUGCCUUCUAAACUGUCAGGCUCGAGCACAGUAGAGGCAGGUGGAAUUCCCGGUGUAGCGGUGGAAUGCGUAGAGAUCGGGAGGAACACCGGUGGCGAAGGCGGCGACCUGGGUCGAUACUGACGCUGAGGCGCGAAGGCGUGGGGAGCAAACAGG
rnacentral:rRNA from 1 species